UUAAGGAUGUACUUAUGUGAGGUAAGGUAAAAAUUAAGAAAUUAAGAAAUUAAAAUUGAUACUUUUAGCUGGUAGAGCAUCAAUUAAGGAUAAAGAUAAGCUAAAAAUAUUGAUAGGUCAUGGACCUCCUUUUCGAGAUAAUUGAGAUUUAAAAUAUGGCGGGAAAAAAGCUGACUCGAACUUUUACCUUAUAUUUACAUUGGUAUAUUUGGGUCUCAAAACAAAGACAGAAAAUCAAGAAUCUUCUUAAAUUUUGGUUAAUGACCUUUUAUGAGCUAUAAAGUCUUAUAUGAAAAAAUAAAUGGGUGUUAUGGGGCAAAAUAUUUUACAUUGUAUUGUAUGGAAAAACACCAAGGAGUCCGAACAUUUGAUACAAAUUCCAAAACCUCACCUAAGUACACCCUUAAUAGAUAGCUAAUUUAAAACCUCUCUUCCAAGAGAGACGGACAAAAUCAAGGAAAAACAACUUUUUCACUGAAAAACCCACAUAUAUAUUUUUUAAAUCCUGUAGCACUCAAAUACACAGUAA
rnacentral:lncRNA from 1 species